CCAAGGGUAGAACCCUGGGUGGACAAGGGCCCAGCCUGAAGCCCACUGAGCCCCAGCUGGGGUACAUUGCAGAACGGUUGCCCAUCAACCGGCGGGACCUGGACCCCAAUGCUGGGCGCUUUGUCCGCUACCAGUUCACGCCUGCCUUCCUCCGCCUGAGGCAGGUGGGAGCCACGGUGGAGUUCACAGUGGGAGACAAGCCUGUCAACAACUUUCGCAUGAUUGAGAGGCACUACUUCCGCAACCAGCUACUCAAAAGCUUCGACUUCCACUUUGGCUUCUGCAUCCCCAGCAGCAAGAACACCUGCGAGCACAUCUACGACUUCCCUCCUCUCUC
rnacentral:sRNA from 1 species